rnacentral:misc_RNA from 1 species
GAUGAAGAACGUAGCGAAAUGCGAUAAGUAGUGUGAAUUGCAGAAUUCAGUGAAUCAUCGAAUCUUUGAACGCACAUUGCGCCCCUUGGUAUCCCGAGGGGCAUGCCUGUUCGAGCGUCAUUUCACCACUCAAGCCUGGCUUGGUGUUGGGCGACGUCCCCUUUGGGGACGCGCCUCGAAACGCUCGGCGGCGUGGCACCGGCUUUAAGCGUAGCAGAAUCUUUCGCUUUGGAAGUCGGGGCCCCGUCUGCCGGAAGACCUACUCGCAAGGUUGACCUCGGAUCAGGCAGGUAUACCCGCUGAACUUAAGCAUAUCAAUAAGCGGAGGA